GAAAAAUAUUAUUGACAAGUCUUCAACAAAAUUUUCGGCAAACAUCGUAAGAACUAAAUUAUCGUAGUUAUUUUGGAAUAUAAAUUCUCAGUGUAAAAUACAAAAUGGUUUUCGGACUCGGAAGAACUAAAUCGGAGCCAUGCAGAAUGAUGGCCCCACAACCAGAAAAACUCAACUUAAAUAUGUCAUUUUUCGGUGUGAUAUCUUCCCUUUUACUCUGCAUAUGUGACAUAUUAAAUGGCAUUUGUUACGUAUUAAUAUUUCUGUGCAGCGUUUGUUUACAACUUCUUUAUUGUGCAAUGGCUUGUUGAAAUCUAAAUUGUGUUAACAGUUUUAAUUGUAACUAAGUUAUGACAAAAAUGUAAUUUGUAAUUUCGAAUAUUGUCCUAAGUAUAUUGAUGAAAAUUU